GACGAACCGUCCAAACGUUGUUCGGAAUCACUGGGCUUAAAGGGCGCGUAGGCGGGCUGCCAAGUCCGGGGUGAAAUCCUCCCGCUUAACGGGAGAACUGCCUCGGAUACUGGAAGUCUCGAGGAGGGUAGGGGCAUGCGGAACUGUGGGUGGAGCGGUGAAAUGCGUUGAUAUCCAUAGGAACUCCGGUGGCGAAGGCGGCAUGCUGGACCCUUCUGACGCUGAGGCGCGAAAGCCAGGGGAGCAAAGCGGG
rnacentral:rRNA from 1 species